rnacentral:rRNA from 1 species
AGAGUUUGAUCAUGGCUCAGGAUGAACGCUAGCUACAGGCUUAACACAUGCAAGUCGAGGGGAAACGACAUCGGAAGCUUGCUUUUGAUGGGCGUCGACCGGCGCACGGGUGAGUAACGCGUAUCCAACCUGCCCACCACUUGGGGAUAACCUUGCGAAAGUAAGACUAAUACCCGAUGACGUCUCUAGAAGACAUCUGAAAGAGAUUAAAGAUUUAUCGGUGAUGGAUGGGGAUGCGUCUGAUUAGCUUGUUGGCGGGGUAACGGCCCACCAAGGCGACGAUCAGUAGGGGUUCUGAGAGGAAGGUCCCCCANAUUGGAACUGAGACACGGUCCAAACUCCUACGGGAGGCA